UACGUACCGUCCAAACGUUAUUCGGUAUCACUGGGCUUAAAGCGUUCGUAGGCGGCUUGGUAGGUGUGAUGUGAAAGCCCACGGCUCAACCGUGGAAUUGCGUCGCAAACCCCCAAGCUCGAGGAAGAUAGGGGUGAUGGGAACUUAUGGUGGAGCGGUGAAAUGCGUUGAUAUCAUAGGGAACACCGGUGGCGAAAGCG
rnacentral:rRNA from 1 species